GCGCGCGGAGAAGCUGAUGCUGCUGCUCCGGGAGGGUUAAACGGCUCGGGCUGAAGCCUGGCCCGGAGAAGGGAGAGCUGGGACUGUGUGUGCGCCGCGGGGCUGCGUUAGGGCCUGACUUGCGCUGUCCCGUUUCCAUAUAGGAUUCCCCCCUCCCCCGUUCGGAACUGCUAACACGUGGGGGUGCCUGGUAGCCGUUCGCGUAUAGCUAAGUUUUUUGCACAUCAGCACAUUUCUUUUUACUGUAUAGUUUUGGAUACCUAUUAAGCAAAUAAGUAUUUUUAGUAUUUUAAGCGCACACUCAAGUUCCAGCAGCUGUGGUAGGGUAUAAAUACAGUAAGAUCACCGUAAAUGUUUGUAAAAUGCCUUCAUGAGCUGGACUUUUAAUCUUCUUGUGUAUAAACCAUAAAUCAAAAGCCAAAUGAUUAUAGCUUUAUGUGAACAUAAAAGACUAAGACCGUGGUAGCCUGUUCAGUAGAAACUGCUUUUCCUUCUGUCUCUUUUAUUUUUCCUUUCCUCUGUCAACACAGGCUCUAACUUGUGUGCUUCUCAUCUUUUUUUGCUUUUGGUGAAAUGAUCUUUAGUAGAGAGAGAAUAUGGGCCAUUCACUUAAGAGUUGGACUCAAUGAUCCUUGUUGGUCUUUUCUGGCUCAGAAUAUUGUAUAAUCCUUACCUGCUGAGCUGCGCUCAGAGAAUCCUUUCCUGUACACUUUAGAUUCAGUUCUGCAUACAGCUUAUCUAGAAAUUAUAGGGUAUCAGUGUAAUAUACUUUCAUCCUUCUUGUAGUUGUUGUAGACUUCUCAUUUCAUUUCUUUAUGUUACAAAAUCCAUUAUAAAGACAACAUAGCAGUCUUUAGGCACGUGUCCUUUAAACUGGCAGCUCCUUCAGUGAUUGCGGUAAAGGAAAUCCUUGCAUUCCUUACCUGGUUAAUUCUCACUUCACUUCAAGGCCCACAGCUCCUAUUGAGAGAUCACUGGGGCCAAGCUUCUGUACUGGUGUGUUCCUCUGUUCCUGCCUGCCCUCCAACAGCUGUCAUUUUCUUCUGCACCCAUUUUUAGAAACUGACACUGACCAGCAUGUCCUGUGUACUGUUUAUUGGCAACUCAAGCCGUGCUGCCAGUUUCCAGGAUGCUUAGAGGCCAAGCUGCCAGGAAUCUAGCUCUUCUCAGAGACAGUGGGAGGAAUAUUUUAGUAAAGACUAUGCCCUGAGAGAACUCUCAGCCAAAAAGACUGAACAGCUCCAACUCACCCAGCCUGUCUGCAAAUGGGAGUGGCUUGGUCCUAGCUUAAAAUACUUCCUGGAAUGAUACUCCACCAAAACCAAGUGAGAUAUUCACCUAGUUCAGGAUAAAUUAUGUGCUCUGAGUCACGGGUAGAGGCAGUGGAGCUCACAAGUCACCGUCUGGAGCAGGAUCCUGGCGUUUCCCGGCCUUUGCUGAAGGAUGGAGCACCUUGGGUGACCUGACUUGCUCCCCUUGAAGCGGAACUGACACCACAGUCACUAAGCACGGACCGGGCAGCAAGCUCACUUAAUCCUCCCCAGCGAACACAUGAGCCACAGUUUGCCUUUCAGUCUGUAAAUUGUUCUUUUGUUUUGCAGGCUUUACUGAACACAGUUUUAUUUCAUGUGACUGUGCUAUUUAUGGAGGAGUAAAUAUUGCCGGGGGUCUAUUUAAAAAGGCCAAUGACCUGGAUUUUUUUUUCCAUUUGAAUUAUCUCCAAGAGUCAGACAUGUUUCACAACUGAUUCCCCCCCACCUUGUUUCUGUAGACUGCAAUCAUUUCUAACAUCUUAGAUCAACACCAACUAAAAAGACAAAGAUUUUGAGUGAAAUAGAACUUCAUGUAGUACGAAUGUGAUCAGACAGUGUGUGACCUUGCCAUUUUUGGAAGAGCUGAAUUCCAUCCUGAUUUACCAGCUAACAACAUAGCAUGUUUUUAGCCUCUGAAUAUAAGCCUUUUUGUUGUAGUAAUUUGAA